rnacentral:lncRNA from 1 species
CUGCCCCUGCCCCAAGUCUAAGUGCCUCCAGCCUGGCUCUAUCCUCCUCCUCGUGGUCACCCCCAUCCCCACAUCCCGUGCACCCCCCAGGACCCUGGUCUCUUCAGUCCCUCUCCCAGGUCUGGGGGUCCCCAUAUCUCCCAGCCAAGUCCAGGAGGGCAGGGCCAGUUCCUCCCAUCUUCAGGCCCAGCCAGGCAGGGGGCAGUCGGCUCCUCAACUGGGUGACAAGGGUGAGGAUGAGAAGUGGUC